rnacentral:rRNA from 1 species
GACGAACGCUGGCGGCGUGCCUAAUACAUGCAAGUAGAACGCACAGGAUGCACCGUAGUUUACUACACCGUAUUCUGUGAGUUGCGAACGGGUGAGUAACGCGUAGGUAACCUGCCUGGUAGUGGGGGAUAACUAUUGGAAACGAUAGCUAAUACCGCAUAAGAACAUUUACUGCAUGGUAGAUGUUUAAAAGGUGCAAAAGCAUCACUACCAGAUGGACCUGCGUUGUAUUAGCUAGUUGGUGAGGUAACGGCUCACCAAGGCAACGAUACAUAGCCGACCUGAGAGGGUGAUCGGCCACACUGGGACUAAGACACGGCCCAGACCCCUACGGGAGGCAGCAGUAGGGAAUCUUCGGCAAAUGGGGGGGAAACCCCUGACCGAGCAAACGCCCGCGUGAAGUGAAGAAAGGUUUUUCGGAUUCGGAAAAGCUUCUG